rnacentral:rRNA from 1 species
AACGAACGCUGGCGGCAUGCCUAACACAUGCAAGUCGAACGAAAACUUCGGGUCUAGUGGCGGACGGGGGCGUAACACGGGGGAACCUGCCCGUGAGUUCGGAAUCACUCCCCGAAAGGGGUCCUAAUACCGGAUAGUGUCUUAGGGCCAAAGAUUUCUCGCCUUUGGAUGGGGCCGGGUUGGAUUCGCUGGUUGGUAGGGGAAAAGCAUACCAACGGCAGGUUGCAUAGCUGGUCUGUGAGGAUGACAUGCUACACUGGGCCUCCGACACAGCCUAGAAUCCUACGGAAGGGAGCAGUGGGUAAUAUUGGACACUGGGGGAAAGUCUGAUACAGCAAUGCCGCGUGAGUGAUGAAGGCCGUAGGGUUGUGAAGCUCUUUUACCCGGGAUGAUAAUGACGGUACCGGGAGAAUAAGCACCGGCUAACUCCGUG